GGGGUUGUAGCUUAGCGGUAGAGCACUUGCAUAGCACAUGCAAGCCCUGAGUUCAAUCCUCAGCACCACA
rnacentral:tRNA from 1 species